UAACUAAAUCUCCCUACCAGCCAUCUAACUAGACUUGUGCAAGUCAGCAUAUUUAAGCCUUUGCUUCUCUCACAAUGUAUAAAAUACCGCAGAAAAAUCCCCUUCAUAUUCUCAUGCAUAUAAAGCCAGUGCGUCACGGAUAGUUUUAACGUUAGCGCGUACCGAGAACGACAGCAGACAAGAAGAAAAAACCUAAACUCUCGUCAAAAUGGCUCAUGAAAACGAUGAAAACGAUAAGGUCUAUCACGAAGUAAUUUACGUCGUAGAACGAGCCACCGAUAAAGUGACUGCGAUUGUUCAUCGCUCUUCAAAUAAAACAUUUUCCCCUAUGCGAGGAAUGAUCAUCUCUACCAGGUACAAUACUGUAAAGAUCGUGACGGAAAACUGUAAAGUUGCAAAAUUUAGGAGGAACGGAGUCUUAAGUUACGAAGCUGUAGAUGACGACCACUGGCAGUAUUCAAAAAGAGUGCAAAUAAGUUAAGAACUAAAUUGCUGAUAAAGACAGUAGAAGAUAACGAAGGUCUUUCAUCAUUUAAAGGAACAUUGAAAAAAAUGAAAUAUGUGUUUAUAAUUUAGCUCUAAUUUCAAUCGAGUCGCUAUAAUCAACUUGAACCCAAUACAAUAGGUUUGGAAAACUAUCUACGAACACUGCACAAUGUUUGGUAAAAUAAUGCAUGCAAACUAUCCUGUGUCUUGCUUUGAUAAUAUUUUAGAAAGUUUUAUUAUAUUGUAGGUUUCUAGUUUCUUAAUUUUUUUCCUAAUGAAAACAUAGUUUAACUAAACACGUUUUGGUAUGAAUGGGGUACGAGACUCACUUCUACAAGACUAAAAUCCGGCUGUGUUUAUACUUUUGCUACUUUUGCUAGAAAGAUUUUGAAAUCUUUAUAAAGGACCAAACGAGUAGAAGAGCAUGUCACGAAUAAUGACUAUGAAUGCUCAUUAAUUAUUCAUGCAUUUUUGAAGUCGUUCAAACACUCCUGCUCAUUUAUUAAACUAUACUUUUAAUUGAGUCGCUAUAAUCAACUUGCACCCAAGACACUCGCCAGCAAAACACUUAUGUAAUUUCAAAUAGUUAUUGAACAAUAUCACUGGCGUAAUUAAUGAUGCAACCCAAAGAUAGUUUAGCACAUCUCAACAACAAUGUAAAAGCUAUUGUAGAAAUAAACGCUGUAAACAAUCCAA